UAUGCAGUGAUUACAUAAUCACAUUUAGUGAUUUACAAAUGUUCCAAAACUGUUUUCUUAUUUAUAUUUACACACGGAAAACCGAAACACAAUUUAUUUUUUGCCUUAUACAUUUUUUGUCAGGCCUAUGAUAAGAUAAUUAUUAUUAAAGGGGAACCAAAUUGUGAUAGUAGGCAUAAUUGUCUCAGAUAUUACUAGUCAUAAUAUAUCACUCUGUGUGUGGAAUUUUUACUCAGGCCUCAUGUAUUUUAUUAUGUAACCAGUUGUUUAAAUCACAUAAAUUAUUCUCAUAUUUAUAGCAGAUAUUUAUUAUAGCACAUAUUUUUCCUCUCUGUCUCCAACUCACCCCAGCCUUCAUACAAUGCCCCCCACCCUCCAACCCCCUUCUCUAUAAUUUGAAUACAUUAUCAAUCGGUCUACCAUAUUUAUUCAUGAUUUAUUUUUUGCCUUUUCUCAUAUUUAUUUUGUCAUGCUUGGUUUUAUGUGUGAACAAGAGACAUUUCUUUAAUUGUACAAAAGUUUAUUUGUAGAUGACGGUGUAAGAAAAUAAGUUGUGACAGUAAUGAAAAAAAAAGAUUUCAACAUUUAAAAAUGUUGUUGAUUUAGUUUGUUUGUUAGGGUGUUUAUUUCUUUACACAAUGAAAUAUAAUGAAAUUGUUAGUUUUAUAAAAUUAUGCACAGUAAGUUGGUUUAACAAUAUUUUUAGUGUGUGUAGCUUUAAAGCAAACAUAGAUAGUGUGUUUUUUCCAUUCAUAUGAUGUUCUACAUGUGAUUGAAAAUUAGGGGGAAAAAAAGAUUUUAUUUAUUUAAAUUGUAUUGCGAGAGAAAGUGUAUGUGAUAUAGUGCUAACUAGUCCAUUGUUAUUUAUUUAUUAAUGUUAAAGAUAGAGGCAUAGCCAGAAUUUGAGAUAAUGUCAACAGUAUGCAUGAAACAUGAUAUUUUACUCACCUAUAUGUCGGAUCACACAUAUAAGACAGGGCUCAGAAUUUGACACUUAUAAUAGUGAAGCAAAAUUAUUAAAAAUAAGGAAAAAAUUAAGAAUUAUUUAUUUAACAAAUGAUUGAAAUAAAAUAAAUAAAUGGAUGUUUUUUAUGUACAGGGCAUAUUUUUGGUAAAAAAAACAACUUCACCAUCAAGUUUGGUUAAGUUAAUAUAUAUACAACUUUUCAGAAUAUUACUAUUGAUAAAAAAAAAGUUGCAGAAAGGGAGAUAAUCUAUUUUUUUUAGAGGUAUUGUUUUUAAAAUAAAUGAAUAAAUUAAUAUUGUAAAGGUAUUGUAUGUAUUUUAUUAUCUUAAGCAGGAUUAUUGAAUUGGAAGUCACUGUACACCAAGGCUUAAUUUUUUUAUUAAAUCAUGUGUGGUGAUGACAUCAUAACAAUUUGAAUAGAAUUGAAAACUCCAGUAAUCCUUGUAUUAUAAUUAUAUAUGAAGUCAUCUAUAUAUGCUGCAAUUGCUGCUGAUUUUACAACUGUCUACCAUUGUUGUUUUUUUUUCAUUGUAUAUUUUACAAUCAUGUAUGCCGUCCGGAAACCUAUGUCAACGAAGUCAUGAAUUGUGCCUAAGUCAUUUUUUUGGUCACAUUUUUUUUGAAGUGUCAUUUUGCACAUAAAUAUAUCAUUGUUGUUUUGGUUUGAAUAUUUCUAAUAUUUAACUUCAUAUGAUUACAAAAUAUUAUUAUUCAUGUUUAUGUAUUUUAUCUUCGAUAGACUGGUAAAGUGAAAAUAUUUUGGCAGUGAGAAAUAGAUUAUUGUUCAUGUAGAUUUGAAUUUUAUUAAUCAUACAUGUGCAGUACCUAGAAAACAUUUUGAAAAAAGUAUAAUAUUACUCUUUUGAUAUAUUUCAAAUGCUUUGAAAAUUCUUGAAUCCAAGGGUCACAUUUGAAAUGGUUUAGCGCAGAGGAAGGAAGUCUAGUACUGGUGUAACUCUCCAGGAACGAUGGUUAGGAAACUACCCGCCUAUAUGACUGAAAUACUGUUGGAAAAAGGCGUAAAAUGAAACAAACAUUUGAAAUGAAAUUUAAGUAUUUUAAAAUCAGACAUGUCAUUUUUGUUCACUCUUCCAUAUAUAAGUACAUGAGCAACUAUGCAAAA